UACGUAGGGUGCGAGCGUUAAUCGGAAUUACUGGGCGUAAAGUGUGCGCAGGCGGCAGAGCAAGUCGAGUGUGAAAGCCCCGGGCUUAACUUGGGAAUUGCGCUCGAAACUACUUUGCUGGAGUGUGGCAGAGGAAGGUGGAAUUCCACGUGUAGCGGUGAAAUGCGUAGAGAUGUGGAGGAACACCAAUGGCGAAGGCAGCCUUCUGGGCCGAACACUGAC
rnacentral:rRNA from 1 species